AUGAACGCUAGCUACAGGCUUAACACAUGCAAGUCGAGGGGCAGCAUGGUCUUAGCUUGCUAAGGCCGAUGGCGACCGGCGCACGGGUGAGUAACACGUAUCCAACCUGCCGUCUACUCUUGGACAGCCUUCUGAAAGGAAGAUUAAUACAAGAUGGCAUCAUGAGUCCGCAUGUUCACAUGAUUAAAGGUAUUCCGGUAGACGAUGGGGAUGCGUUCCAUUAGAUAGUAGGCGGGGUAACGGCCCACCUAGUCUUCGAUGGAUAGGGGUUCUGAGAGGAAGGUCCCCCACAUUGGAACUGAGACACGGUCCAAACUCCUACGGGAGGCAGCAGUGAGGAAUAUUGGUCAAUGGGCGAGAGCCUGAACCAGCCAAGUAGCGUGAAGGAUGACUGCCCUAUGGGUUGUAAACUUCUUUUAUAAAGGAAUAAAGUCGGGUAUGGAUACCCGUUUGCAUGUACUUUAUGAAUAAGGAUCGGCUAACUCCGUGCCAGCAGCCGCGGUAAUACGGAGGAUCCGAGCGUUAUCCGGAUUUAUUGGGUUUAAAGGGAGCGUAGAUGGAUGUUUAAGUCAGUUGUGAAAGUUUGCGGCUCAACCGUAAAAUUGCAGUUGAUACUGGAUAUCUUGAGUGCAGUUGAGGCAGGCGGAAUUCGUGGUGUAGCGGUGAAAUGCUUAGAUAUCACGAAGAACUCCGAUUGCGAAGGCAGCCUGCUAAGCUGCAACUGACAUUGAGGCUCGAAAGUGUGGGUAUCAAACAGGAUUAGAUACCCUGGUAGUCCACACGGUAAACGAUGAAUACUCGCUGUUUGCGAUAUACUGCAAGCGGCCAAGCGAAAGCGUUAAGUAUUCCACCUGGGGAGUACGCCGGCAACGGUGAAACUCAAAGGAAUUGACGGGGGCCCGCACAAGCGGAGGAACAUGUGGUUUAAUUCGAUGAUACGCGAGGAACCUUACCCGGGCUUAAAUUGCAGAUGAAUUACGGUGAAAGCCGUAAGCCGCAAGGCAUCUGUGAAGGUGCUGCAUGGUUGUCGUCAGCUCGUGCCGUGAGGUGUCGGCUUAAGUGCCAUAACGAGCGCAACCCUUGUUGUCAGUUACUAACAGGUUCCGCUGAGGACUCUGACAAGACUGCCAUCGUAAGAUGUGAGGAAGGUGGGGAUGACGUCAAAUCAGCACGGCCCUUACGUCCGGGGCUACACACGUGUUACAAUGGGGGGUACAGAGGGCCGCUACCACGCGGGUGGAGGCCAAUCCCAAAACCCCCUCUCAGUUCGGACUGGAGUCUGCAACCCGACUCCACGAAGCUGGAUUCGCUAGUAAUCGCGCAUCAGCCACGGCGCGGUGAAUACGUUCCCGGGCCUUGUACACACCGCCCGUCAAGCCAUGGGAGCCGGGGGUACCUGAAGUGCGUAACCGCGAGGAGCGCCCUAGGGUAAAACUGGUGACUGGGGCU
rnacentral:rRNA from 1 species